AGCUUCGUGGUCCAAAGGAUAGGGCAAGCGCUUUCUAGGCGCUAAGAUGUAGGUUCGAUUCCUGCCGGGGCUA